UAACACGUAAACAACCUGCCUUCAGGAUGGGGACAACAGACGGAAACGACUGCUAAUACCGAAUAAGUUCCAAGGACCGCAUGGCCCAUGGAAGAAAAGGUGGCCUCUACCUGUAAGCUAUCGCCUGAAGAGGGGUUUGCGUCUGAUUAGCUGGUUGGAGGGGUAACGGCCCACCAAGGCGACGAUCAGUAGCCGGUCUGAGAGGAUGAACGGCCACACUGGAACUGAGACACGGACCAG
rnacentral:rRNA from 1 species